CAAGCCUUUAACGUGCUGCCUCCAAGUGACCUAGAGACUUGCUGUGGUCACUCCAGAUGACCAUCUACAAUGACUCCAUUUAAGACAGCUUGGCAUUAUCACGCCUAAUUAACUCACCCUUUAAACAGACCUCCGAGAAAAUAGCAGGAAGGAGGGAAGGACGCUGCCAAGUGGCUACGCCGUUCCAGGCCAGAUGCUGAGCCCACACUACGGCAUCUCAUUCUAGCAACCUUCGGAGGCAGCGACUUUCCUCCUGCUCUGAAGAUGACUAGGACAGAGCUUUCAAAAGACCAGGGUGUCUCUUCCAGCACUUCUUCCAGGGAGAGACCAUGAUGGCUGAGAGACUGGAGGAUAUCGCCACAAUCAGCUGUGACCAGAACCCAAGUAUGCUUGACUUCAGAGCCUGGCGUCCUUCCACCGCACUGUCUGUGCCAACACGCAGCUCUCCCCUUCACUUCUGCCCAAGUCUGCUCUGGAAUCAAUGACAGGGCUAUAAGAGCAGGAAUGGGUGCACACCAGUGGCUGUGGAGGCCAAAUGUCAGUCUCAUCCUGCUGUGGCAAAUAGGGAGGUGAGGGGUAUUCAUUCAAACAGCAGCUAAUUAAAGCAGAGUGCAGAGCACGUGUGUGCGCUGGGCAGAAGCACAUGGUGCACUGUGCUAAGACAUGUGUCAUCCCUCCCUCCUGACUGUGCUUAGCUCACUGGCCCCAUCCAUAAGGUGGGGUCCAUUCUAUUGCCCUGGAAGACACCACACCGUACAGAUGCACAGGGACAGGGAGAAGUUUCCAGAGAAAGCACCCGGAGGCAGGUACCUUGGAUUCAAACUCACAAAUGUGGACCAGAGAAGCUCCCAUUCCAUGGUGCAGACCCAUCCAACGAGCUUGCAGUUCCUGGGGUGACUCUCCUUCCUCUGUUUUGGAAGCUCCCCUAAUGUUGCAAUGCCUAGUUCGUUCUUCUUUUGCCUGGAAAGGAGCCGAUUUGCUUUUGGUUUUGCCCUCGUUGGCUUUUGUUUGGCAUGAGGAUUGGGAGGGGGUUGGGGAGAAGCAUCUCACUGUGUAGCCAUUGCUGGCCUGGAACUUGCUGCACUGACAGUUGCAGGAUAUUCGAUCACACUGUGACCCCGGAGAUUGUGUUGUUUACUGGAAAAAACUGUUUCUACUUGUGGUGUGGCUUGGCCUUAAAACAUGCCUUUAAAUCCCUCUGACUGGAAUACAGACACCCCCUUGGUCUUUAAUCCCAAACAAUGAAGGAAAAGUUAGUUUGUAGAAGGAAGCACCCAUGUUUGAAACUGAUGUCUAAUCGAGUGGCAGACAAGGUGACGAAUCAGAGAAAGACAGAAUAGAACAUGCCCAACUCUCUCGAGAAUGGAAAUUAAAAGAGGCUACUUAAGAGAGCAUCGAAGAGAGAGAAAAGGGGAGGUCAGUUUUACUGGGACAGUUGUACAGAGGUCUCAGAGAGAGAAAGCUAGACACAGGCAAAGAUAGAAUGAUCCAAAGAAUGAGAAGAAGCCAGAAGAUCAGAACAGAGUCCUAGAGUUAGUUAGAGGCCAAAUUUAAAAAUCCAGUCCAGAGGCUGAGAGAGAAGUCAAUUUGAAUCAGUCAACUUAGAGAGGAGUUUGAACCAGAACAGCUGAGCUGACCAGACAUCCAGAGUUCAGAAAGAGCUAGAAAGGGUGGGCUUAUUCAGCAGUGAAUCUCAGAAGCUGAAAACAUUCUAGGCCUAGAUUAGAUUGUAAGGAGGCUAGAAGCUUCCAGAACUAGGUCUAGAUUAGCAGAUGGAGGCAAUGAGAUAACAAUUACAACAGGUGAAUAAAAGAUUGUUUUUCACAGUGGACCAAGCAGGCCAUGUCACUGAGAUCUACCUGCCUUCCCCCAAAUGCCUGGGUGCUCUCUCUCUCUCUCUCUCUCUCUCUCUCUCUCUCUCUCUCUCUCUCUCAUGAAUCCCAGUUUUGUCCACUAUACCUGCUUGAGGAAACAUUUUGGAAUAACAGAGCAUGGGGAAGUGAGGAGUGGGGGCAUGCACCUUAGUGUAAGAGUUCUCACAGCUCUGCACAUGUGUGAAGGCCCGAGGAGACGUCUUCUAUUAGUUUUCACCUUAUUUCCUUGAGAGGAGGUCUCUGGAUGAGCCACAGUCUUACCAUUUCAGCUAAAAUGACUAACCAGCUAGCUUUGGGGAUCCACCUGUCUCUGUCUCUCCCCCCUGACUGAUGCUGGGGUUACAGGUACAUGCGGUCAUUUCCUUUUGUGUGUGUAAACUGGAAACUCAAAGCCAAGUUCUUGUGCUUGCAGAAGAAAGGCUCUUACCCAUUUCACAGGCAACCUGGAGAGGAAAGGGUUUAUUUCCCAUCCUGAUCACAGUUCAUCACUGGUGGAGUGAAAUCGGGAGCUUAAGGCAGGAGCCUAGGUGUAAGGACUACAGCAGAAGCCAUAGAGGAAGGAUUCUAACGGGCUUGCUCCUCAUGGCUCGCUCACCCUUGCUUUCUUAUACAACUCAGGACCACCUUCCCAGGGGUAGCAUCACCUACCAUAGCCUGGGCCUUCCCACAACAAUCAUUAAUCAAUAAAAUGUCUCCCAUAGACGUGCCCACAGAUCAACCAGAUAGAGCCAUUUUCUUGGCUGAGGUUCCCUCUUCCCAGAUGAUUUUAAUCCGUGUCAAGUUGGCAAAGAAAAAAAAAACCCUAGCCAGCAUCCACUGAGCUGACUCCCUAGCCACAAGCAGGUAUUUCUAAGUUACAUGUUUCUAAACUGAGUCUCUAUGCUCUUACAGGAGGCAAGAGGUCUCAGCCUGGCGUUCUCUCUCGCUCUGCAUUGCCAUCCUUCCAUACCCAGCAGUAACUUGUCAUUCCCUGCCAUUUACUUGCCCAGUCCUUCAUUCACUAAAAUGGAUUGAUUGGUUUAUUUACUCAUCUGCCGGGUACCAAGUCAGGAGCUGUCUUGGUUGCUUAGGAAACAUGGUCAUGGGUGAGCAAAAAAUAGACACUGUCCUUUCCCUCGGGGAAUUUCGAGCCUGGUGAGCAGAAGGAACUUAAUCUAUUAAUCACAUGCAAGAAUUGCAUGAUUUAAGCUAUGAGAAUUGCUUGGAAGGAAGACUACAUGAUACUUUGAUAGUACACAGAAGAAGGGCCUGACCUGACUGGGGGGAAAGUGUUUAGGGUGAAAUCUAAAGACUGGGGCAGAAGUUGGAGCUUGGGGACAUACUGGAUGUGCAUUUGAAAAGGUAUCUGGGUACAGUGUGGAGAGUAGGCUAGGCAGGGGGUUCUAGGCGAGCAGACCAGCGGCUGCUUCAGGAUGCCAGGAAAAGGAAAUGCACUAGUCCAGGGUAGGGGUUACGGAGAGUGAACCAAACCCAGAGCUGGUCCAGUUGCAUCACUGACAGCUUGGGUGUCCCGUGGAGAGCAGAAGCCGGUGCCAACCCUGACUCUUGCCUUUGGGGCUGAGGAUCGCUGGUGGUGCCUUUCAGUAAACUUGACACUUGUGUGCUCAGCACAGGGCAGUGUUUCAUCCCGUGAGUGACAGACCACAGAGGGAGGGAACACUGGUUCCACUCCUUCCUUCUACAGUCUCAUACAAACCCCACUCAAUCCUUCAGGUCAUGCAGAUGUCAUGGCUGCUCCCCUGGGUGUGCACCGAACACUAAGUAUAGUGAGUGCCACACCCAGAAAUAGCUACACCCCAUUCUAAAUUCAGUUGUACAGGGGCCCACUUUCUCUCCUACACAAACUAAGAUCCACCCAGAUCCACAGAUCCACUUUCCCCACUGUCAUGGAAUUUUCUUGGUAUUCAUUCUCUCCCAAUUUCCAGAGGCUUCUCGUGUAUUACACUUGGCUCCAUCUCAGCCACACCUUGUGUCUGGACCUGGGGAACUAAUGUGGCCCUUCCAGUUUUAAUCCUUGCAUACCUCUAAGGUCAGUACUCCAUUUCUUCUAUCCUGCAUGGUGGGCCUGUGGGGGCUGAGAUUAAAGUUCCAUGUACCUCAAGUAUUUGCAGGGCCCUGGGUUCAACUUCCUGUACCACAAAGACUUUAAAAUAAGAGAAGAGGGACAGUGUGAUGGCUCCUCAGGUAAAAGCACUUGGUGCCCAAAGAUGCCAGUCUGAUGGCUUUGAGUUCGAUCCUAAGAAUAGACAUAAAGGCAAAAACCAUCACCUCAAAGCUGACCUUGGAUUUCCACAUACACAUUAUACAGUCACUCAUGCACUAGUGCUCUUACUCAUGCUCUCUCUCUCUCUCUCUCUCUCUCUCUCUGUCUCUUUCUCUCUCUCAUACAUGUACACACACACAUCAUCAUCAUCAUCACCAUCAUCACCAUCAUCAUCAUAAUAAUAAUAAUAAUAAAUCAAUGAAAGCCCUAUAGCAGAAAGCAUGAGUAUGCUGCUUCUGGUUUUACUGAGAGGGAUUGCAAGCUUGUGAGAAUAUUAUAAUUUCCUAGACAGUCUGAAUGCAGGAAUGAAAAGUAUCUGAAUUUCUGUGAGGUUACCACCAGAAAGGAAUGAAGGAAGGAAGGAAGGAAGGGAGGAAGGAAGGAAAGAAGGAAGGAAAGAAAGAAGGAAGACAGACAGACAGACAGACAGGUAGAUUUUUUUUCUCCCGGAAGAAUACUUACAAGGUGGUGGAGAAAGGGCCAGGUUUGAAGCCCUACUCUGCUGUAGAUUCAGAGGAAACCUAAGGUUAGCUCGCAUGCAUUUUAUUAUCCCUAUAAACAGAAGUGGCAUCUUCCUCACAUGCCACUCUGCCGUGACCCCACAUACAUAGAUAGUUCUUAUCACGACCAGCAGAGAUGUGUCUUCUCUUAUUGAAACAGAACUUCUAGGUUCUUUGGGAAGUCAGUUAUGUCAGAUGAUGGUUUGCUGGGGCACACAGGUGAAAGACUGUUUUCCUGAAGCAGACACGGAUGAACUGAUGCUUUGAUAUAGCAAACACAUGAACGGACCAGUGAUGAGGGAGCAUAAGUAUGACCCCAUAGACAGUGGGAAAUGGGCACUGAGCGUUGGUUUGGUUCGCUCUGUCUCACUAUUCUUCACUAAAGACACGAACGUUUGGUUUGCCUUAUAUAGCAUUGUUGAACUCAACUUGUGGUAACACUGCCUUUGAGAGGAACUCACCAAGAUUCCUGAGGCAGCUCGCCCCUUCCACAGCCUUGCCUCUGGUUGGUCAGCGAGCCUGGUGGUUUCUUCAAGACGGAACCACAUUUGCUGGAUUAUGCCUGGUGUCUGCCUGCCUAGAGGACUGGUCUGUAGCUGCUGAGUCGUAUUUGGUGUUUGCUGCAGGACUAAAAUGCUGAGAAAGAAGAUGGAGCUCGCCCCACGGAUCUAUUGCUGAACAGGUCCACUUCCCCCACAUCCUGAUAACUCUUCUCUUCCACUAUCUCCGCUGGAUGGUGGGCUAGAGCAGAGGUUUAACUCUUACUAAAAGUAGGUUGCGAAAAUGUA